rnacentral:lncRNA from 1 species
UAAUAAUACUAUUUGAGACAAAAUUAAACUGUUUGAGACAAAUUUGCAUCAUUUAUAAUUGUUCGAGACUAAACUGGACCACAUAAAAUAAAAGUUGCACGGUUUAAAAUUAAGUUGCACUAUUCAAGACUUAAAUUAUACUAUUUAAAAAUAUUUGGGACUAAGUUGCAAUACAUUUAAAUUGUACAACUUAACUAGCAAACAUUGCAAUUUCUAUUUUACAUGGUAUAACUUAGUCUCAAAUAGUAAUAAAUGGUUCAACUUAACCUUAAAUAAUAUAAUUUAUUCUCAAAUAGUGUAAUUUUAUCUUAAAUAGUAUAAUUUUGCCUUCUUCUUUCUUCUUUAUUUAUUGGUAUUGUAAGGAUUGAGAUUUUUGACAGUGCAACUAAACUCUCUGUUGCUGAUGUUUAUGUGUGUAAUUUAAUUACAUAAGCACUCGUCAAAUUUUGGGCGAAAAUGAGCUAAAAUGGAGAAGAUACGCGACUUUUAGUUUUCACUUAAGUGAAUAGUAACUCCGGUUUUCCGGAGAAGCCACGGAGUAGAGUAGGCUUCUGGCGCGUAUCGGACUCCGUUCAUAGCGAUCCAAUAGCUCGUUUCGACCGGUUCAGCUAUUCUGGAACUACUAGCGCUGACGGAUUUUGAGUUUGAUGCACGAAUUUCAAGAAAAUCCGAAAAUACGUGUUUUAUAUGUAUUUAUGUGUUAUUCCUUCUAUUGGAAAGAAAGUUUGGAUUUUGUCGUGAAUCCGUGGUCGAUCGUGGUGAAACAAAUCGUAGCUUUGUUGUCUCCGAAGUGCUGAUCGCACUGGUACAAUCCGUUCGCAAAUCUGACAGACGGAUCUACGGAGAUCGCACGUUGAUCGAGGAGAGUUCGGUGAUGGCAAAACGGUAAUUUCGCAAAAGUUGCGACAUUUUAUGUACCGAAUCGCGUGAGAUCGGACGUGGAGGUAUGUACG